AAAUAUUAAAAAUCAGAAAUAGAAACUAGAAUUUAUUUGGAGACUAGUGCAAUUGGUCCCAUAAUUUUUGGAUUAAAAAUGAAGAAGAUAUUGAUUUUUGAAAAUAAUUAGAAUUAAAAGAAAUAAAGAAAAUAGAAAUCAGAAAUUAAAAAAAAUGGAAAAAGGAGAAGCGUUGGAUCAGAAGCUCAUUAAUUGAGUUGGCGCAUCAAACGGAUCAUAU
rnacentral:lncRNA from 1 species